rnacentral:lncRNA from 1 species
CCAUCUCUCUCUACCUAUUGUCUCAUCUCUCUCUUUCUAUUGUUUCAUCUCUCUCUCUCUCAAUCUCUCUCUCUCUCUCUCUCUCUCUCUCUCUCUCUCUCUCUCUCUCUCUCUCUCUCUUUUACUCACUCGUAUCUCUUCAUCUUAUCUCUUUUUGCACUCAUGUAUCUCACUCCCUCAUAUAUCUUUGUCAUGUAUCUCUUCCUCUAUUUCAUAUUGAUGCAUCUUAGUUCUUUCUACACACAUGUCUCUCUCUUAUCUUUAUUGAUCCUUCUCGUGUCUCUCUUUUUCACCCUUCAAUCUCUCCCUUCAUUUAGAAUAAG